ensembl:lncRNA novel transcript
ACCAAAGGCUUGAACAGGGGAACCUCACAAGCAGGCAGAGAGCACACCUGAGACACAAGGACAAAUUAAAGCCAGUGAAUAAAACUAAAGGUCACUUUAAAGGAGUAUAAAGCUACAGUGGACAUAACGUGGCAUAGGUGAUCUUGACACCACAGAACUGUGAAGCCUGCAAUCCUACAAUAUAGAGGGGUAUGAGGAAGACAUCUCAGGAUACUGAAGAGUGUUGCAGAGGACCCACAAAUAGUCCUGAGCAUGAGAUGGUGGACAACAAACCCAUUUUUGGUGUGUUGCAGCAAGAGCGCUGGCCUGCCAUGAUCUGCUACAUUCUACCUGGAAAUACAAGUCAGAAGUCAGCCUGUCAUAUUUUUUCAAAAGGUGACUUGUCAAAAUGAGACUUCUUUCAUAAAAUCAGUCUGGUUGGGCAUGGUGGCUCACGCCUGUAAUCCUAGCACUUUGGGAGGCUGAAGUAGGUGGAUGGCUUGAGCCCAGGAGUUUGAGACCAGCCUGGGCAACAUGGCAAAAUCCCAUCUCUACAAAAAAUACAAAAAUUAGCCGGGCAUAGUGUCACACACCUGUGGUCCCAGCUACUCAGGAGACUGAGAUGGGAGGAUCACCUGAGCCCGGGAGGUUAAGGCUGCAGUGAGCCAGGAUUGGGCCACUGCACUACAGCAUGGGUGACAGAGUGAAAUGCUGUCUCAAAAAACAACAACAAAAAAUCUCUCAAUCUGUCCAAAUAGUUAGAUUGUCUUCAGUAAUCUUUCCAUCGCGAUCUUGCUUUGUUUCUACUACUACUCUGAUGCUACAUAAUUAAGGUCACCAAUCGUUGUCACUGUCUUUCCAAACCUGUUGUUCCUUACUUCCUCCGGCCAUUCUUCCUUGUCCCCCUCCCAUUCAUCAUCCAGACACACACACACACACACACACACACACACACACACACACACACAUACAUUUUAACAAUACCAAACUCCUUGUAGUUCCCCUAAAUGAAUCAUGUUGUUUCCCUUACCUGAAAUGCCCAAUCCCUUUUUUAUUUUCAUUGCUAACUCCUCUCAUCUUUCCAGAGUGUUCACGUCUACCAGGAGUGUUCUUGUCCCUCCCAUUCCUUUCUACUCUAGCUCCACUCACAGUUCUGUGUAAUCCCAUCUUGUGGACUAACCCGUGUUAAAAAGAUUUGUUUGCUGAUUUGAUUCUUCCCUCCACUACACCCCCCCAUAACACAAAAUGAGUCCCUUAAAAGCAGAAAUGUUGCCUCACUGGUCUCCAGCACCCAGUGGAGUAUUUGGUAUGAAUGUCGGUCGAACUGUACUCUCUCCAGUGUGCAUUUUGUUCCAGGAAGACUAGGUAAUAGCAGGAGCAUUAGAAGCCUCAUCUUCAGGGCUGUUUGACAUUGAUUUUUUAAAAAAUACAUUUCCUGAGGUCUCACUAGUGCCAGAAUAUGAAAAAAAUAAUCAUUCUUCUCUGACUAAAGUGGAAUCACCAGUGAUUUAUUCUCUCCUUAAUCAGUAAUACUAGCUAACAUUUAUAUAGCCCUCACUAGGUCCCAAGCACUUUGAACAUAUCAUCUUAUUUCAUGUCUAUAACCACCUUCAGGUAGGCACUGUUGUUACCCUCCAAUUUACAAAGGAGGAAACUGAAGUGCAGGGAGGUUAAGUAAGUGGCAAGCUAGAAUCUGGAUACAGGUUGUCUGGUUCCAGGGACCAGGCAGUUAGCCAUUAUGCUAUGCGGCAUGAUUUCUUGCUUUCCUUGCCCUUUUUUCUUAAAUGUUUAAUUACAUAAGUAGCAUAUCAAUACAUUUAAAUUGUCAAAAAUUCAGAAACAAAGCAAAAACUCACUACUAUUUGAUGGGUAUCUUUCAAGAUCUUUUUCUUUGUUUACAUACAUAUAUACAUUAUGUGUGUGUACAUAUACACAAAGAAAUAUGUAUUUUUAUGUAACUGGAUUAUGCCUUAUUUUUCUAUAGAUUUGUUUUCAUUUAACAAUUUGUCUUAAAGGUCUUUUCAUAUCGAUGCAUAUUGAUCUAUUUUAUUCUUUGAAUGUUGCAUAGUAUGGAUAUAUUCCAUAGAAUGGGUGUAAUAUAGUUUAGGUAACCAUUUUUCUUUUGCGAGUCAUUUAUGUUGUUUCUGAUUUCACUGUUACAAACCAGGCUGCACUGAGUAUCCUUGAACAUGUCUCUUCACAUUCAUGCAACUAUACGUCUAGGAAAGAUCCUCAGAAAUAAAAUUGUUGGGA